rnacentral:rRNA from 1 species
AGUGAACGCUGGCGGCAUGCCUAACACAUGCAAGUCGAACGGCAGCACAGUAAGAGCUUGCUCUUAUGGGUGGCGAGUGGCGGAUGGGUGAGGAAUACAUUGGAAUCUACUCUUUCGUGGGGGUUAACGUAGGGAAACUUACGCUAAUACGGCAUACGACCUACGGGUGAAAGCAGGGGAUCUUCGGACCUUGUGCGAUUGAACGAGCCGUUGUCGGAUUAGCUAGUUGGCGGGGCAAAGGCCCACCAAGGCGGCGAUCCGUAGCUGGUCUGAGAGGAUGAUCGGCGGCACUGGAACUGGGACACGGUCCAGACUCCUACGAGAGGCAGCAGUGGGGAAUAUUGGGCAAUGGGGGCAAGCAUGAUCCAGCCAUACCGAGUGGGUGAAGAAGGCCUUCGGGUUGUAAAGCCCUUUUGUUGGGAAAGAAAAGCAGCAGGUUAAUACCCCGCUGUUCUGACGGUACCCAAAGAAUAAGCACCGGCUAACUUCGUG